GCUCAGUUGGUCGAGUAUCAGACUCUUGAUUUCAGCUCAGGUCAUGGUCUCAUAGUUGGUGGGUUCAAGCCCCACAUUGGGCC
rnacentral:tRNA from 1 species